GUCAACCACCCCACCCUAAAGGAUGGGGCUUGAAAGGUGAAAGCCUUGAAAGCCCAGGUUGACCAGACCCAGAAAGGAAUUUAAAAAACCAAUCUACGUUGCCUACAGGUUAUCGGACCAACGGCAGGAUGCUUCUCCAGUCCUGCCCUCUUGA
rnacentral:sRNA from 18 species